ACCCCGAGCAGUUGAGGAUUCCGUGCCUUAUUCAAUGGCACCUCGGCAGUGCCCAGGCAAGUGAACCAGAACCUCUCCAGCCACCAGUCCACUUGCCAAACUUCGUCCAUGCUGGGACUCAAAGCCAAGUCCCUAUAGACUGAGCUACUGCCGCCCAUCAUUACCGCCUCUAAAUGAAUUGCCUGAUCUGAGUGAAAUCUGCUGUGUUGGCACCAUGUUCAACCGUGGAGACGCACGGUAUACAGGUGACACCAGGAAUCAAUACUCCCAGCGCUCACACAACAUUAAGCCUGAGAGGCUGCUCCAAGCCUGCUGUGAUCCAUAGCCUCUGGAUUCUGUCUGUGUACCGCUGUUAAGAGCACAACAGCAGCCUGCCCCGAGGAAACAUGUGCAAAAAAAAAAACCUUCAGGGACACAUCCAUUACAUCAAUGAGGAGAAAUGCUUGAGGAAGAUGAGUGUCCAGGGUUACCGGUGUUAUGGCUGAUGUUGCUCAGCUUGUUGCCGUCUGCAGUUUGAUUGCAUUUCUCUCACUCUAAUGAUUUUGGUGUGAAAGGGCAAAAUGAAGGAAGUUUUUUCAAAGAAAAAACGCAACAAGGUGGACGGUACUAAGGGCUACUCACAAGCCUUACUAAGUCAUUUUUAGUGCUGUUCAACUGUGACUGCAAAUUUUCAUCACACUGUAAGUUUUGGAAAAAUAUAUUCAGCUAUUAAAACAUUUCUUUAUGGGCUUUUA